AAAAAGGCCAUUCCUUCUUUUCUUUCUUCUUUUUUAUCUCUCUCUCUCUCUCUUUCUCUCUUUCCAUCACUCGUGGGUCCUCCUUCCUUCCUUCUUCUUCUCCCUGAUGGCGGCACCGAAAACCCUGGGUACACAGCAGACGGGUUCACUGGGGCAAUGCCCGGCAAAAAAAAAAAGGAAGAAGAAGUUUUGGACACCGUCACUGCCUUUUUUUUUCUUCUUUUCUUUCUAUACAUCAAACCCAGCAGUUCGUUCGACAGACGAUUUUUUUUUUCUUUUUCCGUACUUGAUUGUCGACUCUGAUGACACGAUUGCCAGUUAUUCACCUCGAAAUUAUCGGAUCAAUUGUCAUACAUACGGGUUCGAAGGGUUGUUUUUGUUUCUUUGGCUUUUUUUUAACUUGCUAAUUUAACAUACAUUGACUUGUGGCGCUCCACUGAUUGCGAAUCAAAUUUUUUUUUUAAACAAAAAAAUGGACGAAUGUGGAAUAGACCGAUCCCGAAUCGGACUGAUUAAAGACACUAAGAAUAAAUCAAGUGAUUGUUCAAUUAUAUAUUUGGCCGUGUUUGAAGCGGCAAAGCACAGAACGCGCAUCCAACAUCUCGAGAGAAAAAGAACAAAAAAAAAAAAUAAACACAGAAAAAACAAAAAGCCAAAAGAAAAAGUUACAGGAAAAAAAUGGUAGGGCGGUGGAAAGAGUUGAAUGAAUGUUCUCUGGGCGAAGCGAACGUGCCAAAGUAUAACGCGGAAGUGGAUGCUCUGCGAUAGAGCCUUAGACUUCUGCCGCUUCGUUCGCUCGCUUCAGGUCAAUGGCGCCCAUUUUCUUGUCCUAUCCUUUUCCUUCUUUUUGUAGUUUCGUUCCUCUUCGUUCCUCUCUAUCCGUACGACUGAAAAUCGUUUUUCUUUUUUUCUACAACAGCCUAGCUAGGCAGCAGAGCAACAGAAGCAGCCGGCAGCUUGUUGCGUGCAUCAGGCUCCUUCAGUCGGUUACAUUCGUUCAUUCGCCGCGUGAGGCUUGCGGCUAUCCCGGGACGUUGCGCUUGUUUUCUCGCACGACGAGAAAACCCAUGGCCACCCGGAGUUCUCAAAAAGCCACAUACGCACACAAUUCGAUUCGAUAUCGGAAAAAAUAAAUAAAUAAAUGAAAUAAAAUAAAUAAAUAAAUAAAAAUGUCACAUAUACGUACGCGUGUAUGCUGUUGUUCUAUCGUGUGUUUAUACAGUACUCUCUACAUGAAAUGUAUAUUAUGUACUGUAUUAUACUAUAAAAGAAAAAGAAAACAAAAACAGAAAAACAAGGUAACAUUUCCGCGUGCUGGAGUGCUAUAUAAGAAAGCCACUGUCAUUGGCGCAAAAAAGAAAAAGAAAAAAGCACAGGCGUUCAUUUAGAUUGUAUAUACACAUUGCCAUCGAGGUCAGAUGACGUAACUAUACAUACAUUCGAAUUAUCCGCCAAUGAUAAUGAGCUCGCAAAGUCAUCCCGGCGUCAUUUUAACGUCGGGUAUAUAGAGGACAUUUAAAUUUUUAAGUAACGAAAAAAAAAAAUAAAAA
rnacentral:lncRNA from 1 species